rnacentral:lncRNA from 10 species
CCACAAGACAGCUCGCUGGAGACUCAUCUCCUCCCUCCCACUAAAUCAGGAGAGAGAAGGGGGUUUCCUCCCUGUGAGAGAAGGGGAAACAGAAAUGCAGAGAAGACAAGCCAUGUUUCAAAAGAAAUCCAGCUAAGUUAGCCCUACUGAGACAUGGACUGGAAGUACAAGACUCUGCCUAGGAGAUCUGGAGGCAAAAGCCAAGUUUCCUUGUACACCGUCCCCCUCUCUGAAGCUCCCACUGGACCUCCAGGGCGAUCAGGAACUUCUCGUUGGGCUAUCACACGGGCAAGCUGACCGGCCCUGUCCUUCCACUCAUGGCAGCCACAGUGAUCUGGUAAAAUGUAAGUCAG